UACGUAGGUGGCAAGCGUUGUCCGGAAUUAUUGGGCGUAAAGCGCGCGCAGGUGGUUUCUUAAGUCUGAUGUGAAAGCCCACGGCUCAACCGUGGAGGGUCAUUGGAAACUGGGGAACUUGAGUGCAGGAGAGAAGAGUGGAAUUCCACGUGUAGCGGUGAAAUGCGUAGAGAUGUGGAGGAACACCAGUGGCGAAGGCGACUCUCUGGGACGGUACUGACGCUGAGACGCGAAAGCGUGGGGAGCGAACAGG
rnacentral:rRNA from 1 species